rnacentral:rRNA from 1 species
AAACCAACUGGGAUUGCCUUAGUAACGGCGAGUGAAGCGGCAAAAGCUCAAAUUUGAAAUCUAGUACCUUUGGUGCUCGAGUUGUAAUUUGAAGAAAUUUCUUUUGUGUAGUCCUUUAUCUAUGUUCCUUGGAACAGGACGUCAUAGAGGGUGAUAAUCCCGUAUGAUUUUGGAUACUAUACUUUGUAAAGAUUUUUCGAAGAGUCGAGUUGUUUGGGAAUGCAGCUCUAAGUGGGUGGUAAAUUCCAUCUAAAGCUAAAUAUUGGCGAGAGACCGAUAGCGAACAAGUACAGUGAUGGAAAGAUGAAAAGAACUCUGAAGAGAGAGUGAAAAAGUACGUGAAAUUGCUGAAAGGGAAGGGCUUUAGGUCAGACUUGGUGUUUAAUGCUUAUCUUCCCUUCUUGGGUUGACUACUCGUUUUUCACCGGGCCAAUAUCAGUUUUGUUGGUAGAGUACCUCUUGAAAUGUGGCUCUCUUCGGAGGGUGUUAUAGUCUUGAGGAGAUCUAUUAAUGGGACUGAGGACCGCGCUUUAUGCUAGGAUAUUGGCGUAAUGACCUUAAGCCGC